AAUUACGGUUAUAUUGUCUUGUCUUCAUUGAGAUUGUGUUGUUUUUUUAACAUUUGUUCCAGAUAUUUUGUGUUGCGUAAAAUUUCCUUGCAUAUGUAACAGAGAGAUUGAGGGUUUGAAACAAAACUAAGCAGCAAGCUUGAUGCUAAUUCACCUGCUUGGGUGCCAGACUGCCAGAUUGAUAAGUGUUUCUUUCCUCUUUUAUUUAAGUUCUGAGUGAGGGCUUAAAACA
rnacentral:misc_RNA from 1 species